UGGAGGUGGAGGCCAAGGCUUUGGAGGCGGGGUUCCAAGCUGGGAGCAGGAGGUGAGAAUUAGAAAAGGAGCACAUACAGGUCUGGCGACCACCAUGUGGUCAUUAGGUCUGCACACCAUCCUGAAGUCAUAACCUCCCUCCCCCAAGUCCCCAGGUGCCUCACCUAAGGCUGUUAGCAUAAUAGGUGCUGAGCUGCUGUGUAUCACCAGACCGUGGAGACUGAGGCGCGCGUGGCAGGUCAACGGCUGCCAUAGGUUGCUGGGCCCAGCGCGCAAAACAUGGGUCAGCGUCACAUUGGCCACAUGCAAAUCUUGGAAGUGCUCCAAGGUUUCGAAAUAGAUGAUCUGGCCGCGGCGCCUCAGGAUCACCAUCAAGGAGCCCACUGGGAAAACGUGCGUCACGUGGCAGCGCAGAAAGUACUCCUGGCCAACCAAGAUGGGUGGUUCCAGGAUAACGCUGCGAGGCCGCUCUAAAGCAAGAGGGGAGCCCCACCGUAAGGUCCGCGGGCGCCCCCUCUUGCGACUUUCAACUACCCCAUCCUUCACCUUCUUCCCCUCACCCCAACUGGACCUGUACCCCUGUCCCUCACUGUAGGUGGUGAUCCUGGCGGUGGCCUCUCGCGUUUUUCCUGCGCAGGUGACGAAGCAGUGUACUUCGGAGCUCCAAGCCCUCACAUUCAGCAGCUGAGGCUGACGCUGAGGCUGAUGAAAAAACUUUAUUGGCAUAAAGGAGAGGCUUCCUGAGCUGGGAGGGGGUCCAAAGCCUUGCAGGACUGGACCCCCAUCACUGCCCCCAGUGUCCUGAACGCUGAAGGGUUUUCGGAGCUACAAUGAAGGGGUUCUAUUCCUUCAUGGUCCCACUGAGGCAGAGACAGGUGAGAUAAGGUGGGGUACACAGUUGGGAAGAAUUUCAUGGGACUUUAUAGUGUCGCUGCACAGGAGGGGCAUAGUCACUGAGGAUCACUGAGAACAUAGGCUGAGAAACAUGUGGGUGGAGAGGUGAUUAACAGCACCAGUGCCGAGAAGGGGAAAUAGUAAGGUCUCAGUGAGUGGUGGCCAAGCAUGUCACCAUUGCUAGCUCCUACGGUGCCUUAAUGCUUGACAGAAAAAGCACCCUUUCUGGGAGAAAGCAGCUUGGCCAAUGGAGUAUGAAAGUCCAGCCCCACUUGAUCUUUUUACCAGGCACUCUUGUGCAGUGCCCAGCCAGGACAACUCUACCUGGCGACUCUGAAUGUAAUUAGACGGAGAAUUCCAUGAGAGUGAGAACCUGUGUUCACCUUGUUCACCAUUGUAGACUACAUAAAAGGUAGGCAAUAAAUAGCUGGCAAAAUACCAAAUUAAUAAAUACAUCAUCAUCAAGAGUUGGGGACAACUGGACAGCAGUGUCAGAGCCUUGGAGGAUGUAUGGGCCUUUUUGUUUCACUGCUACCUAGGGCUGUGGGUUUAUUCUUCCUUCAGGCUGUGGGGCCCCGGCAUAGGCAGUAGGGAGCGGACCUCGGUAUUUCCAGGCUGGGGAUCCACAAGGUCUACGAUCACCACUCCCCCACUGUCCUGGUCAGAUCCUACAUGUGUCCAGGUCUUGGCGUCUCCUUUUGGCUCAGACUGUGACUGCGGGUCAGGUGUGAGGCCUGGAGAUCCUAUUUGUGCAGAUGCCACGACACCAAAUGUUGUCUGCAUCCUCAGGCCACGGUCCUAUCCUGUUACCCUGAGGAGGUGCACGCAGCCAAAUGGCUUCUGAUCACCAUUCUCUUUCAUGCAACACCACGCAGAUGAGGGGGCGGCCAGAAGGAGGCCCUGUCUUGGGGUGGGCUCAGGGGGGCGUGGCCUGUGUUUUCAGCUUCAGGGCGGCGGCCUCCUGCGCCUUCAGGAGCUUGUAGAUCUUGAUCUUCCGUUGGCGGUUAUAGAGGCAAAUGGCCACGACCACAGCGCCCAGGAUGGCCCCAGCCGUCAACAGAACGAUGAUGAGCACAUUUUUCCUGGCUGCUGGAAGGACACAAGGGACUGAGGAUCAAGCUAGGAUCUCUGUUCCUACCUGCGCCCAGCCCCGCACACUGGCACACUCACUGAGCACGGUCAAGAACACCUUCCGGGUGACCGCUCCACGAGGGCUCUCUGCCUUGCAGAGGUAGGUGCCCUCAUACUGCUUCUUGACAGGUCUCAGGUCCCCAAUGGGCAGUGGAGCCCUAUCCGUUUCCCGAAGACAGGUCAGCCGAGGGACGGGGUUACCCCAUGCCUGGCACGACAGGUUCUGGUUGGUCUCUUCUGGCCACGUCCAGUUCCCCAGGCAGUCACUCUCGUCCAGUCGGGGCCCGUCUAGGGAAACAGCAGGAUGAGCGAAAGGGGGACAAGGACACCCCUCACAUCUAGGACUACCAGGGGUGGGGACAGGCCUUGGAGGGCAAGAGUUGAUGGGGCCUUUGGGCUGGGCCACAAGGGCAGGGGUCAUUGUGCAAGACCUCCACUCACACAGGACCCGAAGCUCCUUGGUCUGGUUCUUGUACAGCACGUGCCCAGCCACCUCCAAGGCAGCAGAGCAAGAGAAGUGGCGACCGUUGUCCUCAGCUGUGGCGUUCAGCAGGAAUUGGACGCUCGGGGCCCAUGGCUCAGCUGGGGCGACGCUCAGCCUCACCCUGAGGCCAGCGGAGGCUUCACACGCCACUUCCACCUGGGUCCCUUCUGAAACCUCCUGCUCGCUCAGGGUCAGGUUGGGAGCUGGGAAACCUGAGGCGGAACACAGCAGUGAGCCCGGCCCCGCGGCAGGCCACGUCCCCUGAGAGCCUCACCCCUGCCCUGCUUACUGUAGACCGUCAGGUUCCUCCAGGACUCCUGGCUCUGGUUCCCCAGCAUGAUUGCACACACCAGCAGAUGGUCCCCCUUGUUCUCCGCAGUCCCCUCCACCCAAGCUGUGGCUGAGAGGGAGUCCUCGUUGUAGGUGACUGUGGUGUUCAGCCUGUGGUCCCCCAGGGCCAGGUGGACCUGGGCCUCUGAAGCUGGAAACAGCCCACCCAUGGAGCAGACCACUUUCUCCGAUGUGCCCACCUCCAGGAUCCUGGGCGUCUCAAGCUGUGGGGAAGUCAUCGGCAGGACUGGGGAGAGAGGGUGAGCGUGAACAGAGAGGCCGAGACAUCCCACAGCCGUCUGGGGCAUCUUUACUCAGGCCAUAGACAGUCCAGGAAGAGAACGUUCCAGGUGUGGGAGUAAAGAUGCCCCAGAUCCUGCGGCCACAGGCACCCCAUCCCCAGGGCAUCCCGCUCCUGUAGGUAAGCAUCUGUCCUUUCCAAAAGCUUCCACAACCUAGGCCACCACCUUCUCGAUACUGGCCCAGCCAGGGGCUCCUUCCCAGGAACCCGGCACCCACGCAGGAACGCUGUUCCCCUCUGAGUCCACCUUCCCCGGGGCCUCACCAAAAGUCCGGAGCUGCCUGGGGGCCGAGGUGUUCUGGAAGAAUCCUAGUCCUUGGGGCCGUAGGUCCAGUUCGGCUCGGCAUGUGAAAUUGGCACCAUUGUCACCUCUGCCCGCCAGCACCGUGGCGGUGCCCUCUGCUGGCUCCCCCACGGCAGGUUGCCGGCUCAGUUCCUCCUCCCCACGGAGCAGCACCAGGGUGAGCUGGGCCCGGGGUGCCCCGCCCCACACAUGGCAUUUCAGGGUGAGGUUCUCACCCACCGGCUGCCAGGGGGGAAGGGGUAACAGCUCCAUGUGCUCCGGGAACCCUGUGGGAACAGUGGGGGAGUUUCCCAUGAAGCUGGCCAGCGGGCACCUAUCCUGGAAUCUCGCCACUCCCCUGACUUCCCAAAAGAGGACGCAAGGUAAGCAGACAGGAAUGCAAGAGCUUCAGGGAAGGCUGUUGAGAGGCCCAAGUGUUUGUAAAAGGGACCAAAAAAUUCUUUAUGCAGCGCAGCCGGAUCUGAAAAGAACUGCAAACUCUGUGCCCACAGCCUGGUCAAAUAUAAUGCCCAGGAGAAGCCCCUCCACUAGACAUACUUUAACCAGGGCUCCUGUGAGCUGAGGGUGCGGCUGGGGCUAGAGCCCUGGUUCCAUCCCAGACCACAGAACGAAACCUCCGCUCAGCCUGACUUUUUGCUCCAUGGUGCACACCACCUUCUUUUUCUUUCCCAUAUUGGGGAUUGAACUCCUGAGCUACACCCCCAGUCCUUUUUAUUAUUUAUUUUGAGACAGGAUCUCACUAAGUUGUUGAGGCUGGCCUUGAACUUCCAAUCCUCCUGCCUCAGCCUCCUGAGUUGCAGGGAUCACAGGAGUGCACCAUCACGCUCAGCAACACAUCUCCAUCUUCUAAACAUAUACGACAAUCUAUUCUAUUCAAUUAGGUUGUUUCCCUAUUUCCUCUUUUUGCCCAAGGAGGGAAGGGAUGUGAGUGUGUGAGUGUGUGUGUGUGUGUGUGUGUGUGUGUGUGUGUGUGUUGGGGACAGAACUCAGGCUCUGGGGGCAUGCCAAGCACCCCUAGCCCAGGGGCAGAGAUUUUUGUCUGCUUUGUUCUUUUGUUCUGCCUGGCACACAGUAGUUGCUCAAUAUUUGUGGAAAGAAUGAGGUAGAGCAGGCCAAACUGAUGGGGUAGGCUUUUCAGGAGCCCAAUUUGUAAAACAGUUGGUUUUUUUCCCCCAGUGCUGGUAAAACCAGGGCCUCACUCAGCUCCAUCCCCAGCUCCAAGGGCCAGAUUUCAAGGGAAAGAGAAGAAGGAGCUGUGGAUCCCAUGUUAAAAAUGGGCAAAUAGAAAAAUGAAACCAAGGGCAGGGGCCGGGGCUGGGGCUGAGCGGUAGAGCGCUUGCCUGGCAUGAGUGAGGCCCUGGAUUCCCUCCUCAGCACCGCAUAGGAAUAAACCAAGUGAGAGGUCCAUUGGCAACUAAAAACUAUUUUUAAAAAAAGAGAAAAGCAAAAGGAAACAUCCCCCUUGAAUAUACACACAACACAGAGGCCAGACUCCAUUCCAUACGGAGGAACAGAAUCCCAACCCGAUGACCAGGACGUGUACUGCACGAUGAGCUGGGGAUUAGCACCAAGACCCCUGGCUCCCCAGGGAGGGAACGUGAUGACCUUCCCUUCCCUAAUCUCUUCUCAAGAGGUCCCCAAAUGUCACCUGCAAUGCCCCUAAGGUGUGGGGAGCCAGGCUGGCCUGUGUUGGACGCCAGCGUAUGUGGCUCCUUGCCGUGGAUUGUGGUCAAGUGCCUUUGCCCCUCUGAGCCUCAGUUUCCUGAACUGUAAAAUGGGGCCAUUAGAAGUGGAAUAUUAUUAAUCAAUUUAAGAGACUGAGUGACUGAAAAUGGGCAGGAAGCUUCUUUUUAGGGUGAUGAAAAUGUUCUCAAAGUAGAUAGCGCCAGUGGUUGUACAAUUCUAUAAAUACACUGAAACAUUCA